AGAUAUCGUUCACUUCCACUCGUGGUCUUUGCGUCGAGUAAGUGAAUCCCCGUUAAGUUAGCAACCUUUGCGUCCAUUUUUGGCUGCAGCAAAAGAAUUCGCAGCAAAUAGUUGAAACUUACGAGAGGAUUUCGUGAAUCGCAGUUGGUAGAUUUAUUUCAUGCGAUUCACAAUCGCCACAGAAUUCUAUUUCACGUUAAAGCCAUUAAAAUUGUGGUGAAAAGUUUAUUGAGCGUUGUUUAUAUCGGCACAUUAAAUUUGCUAGCGAGAGAGCAGCCAAAUCAUUAACGACUCUGCUCUGUCCGCAAUGGGCACUUUGUUGCAGCAGUGGGUAGUCGCUGUUAAAGGCUGAAUCCAACUGCUCGCACACAAUUUCUUGUAGCGUCGACCACAAAAUCGUCAUUACAACUCGCUUUGUAUAUAAUGGGUCCAUUUUGACGACUCUGUAUUUAAGGUUUUAGCCUAAUUUUGCAAAGGGUGACCUGAUACUCUCUCCCUUGGUUAAACAAAUCGUUGCCGCUGCUGCUGUGACCUCAAUCCUUCUUCCGUGCUCUCGCCUCGUCACUAGUAAGCUCCUCGGUUGUAUGUGAAAUUUCCACCAUCGACUACUUAUCUCUCUGAUCUACAUUUAUAAAUCUCACGAAGGCCCUCUCUCUCCCUCCCUCUCUCACUAGUGCUGCCCUAGCCUCUCUCUGUGUCAGCUCCCUUCAGGAAAUUUAAACAUUGUGUUGCCAUACUAGCUGAGCAUUUCAGAGUGCUGCCACCUCCUGCGGUUCAAAUGGACCAGAACUGGAUGCACGUGCCAAAUAGGUUUACAUCACCUGAAUAUAGUGAAGGGGUUAAUAAACUCCUCAAUAUGGCAAAAGCCCAUGCUCCUGAAAGUACUACUUUCAGGUGUCCAUGUCGGAGAUCAUCUUUUCAUGAUAGGUAUUCAUCCAAGUUAUACACAUUGGAUCUUUCAUGGGGAGGGUGAAAGUUGGAGUGUGAAUUCGCCAAACAGUGAUGAAGAUGGCUUUGAUCCAAGUCAUAACUUUGUUGAUGAUAUGGAUGACAUGCUAGAGGACACACAGGCUAGAACAUUCAUGGACCAUGCAAGUGGGGGACAUGAAGAUGGUACUACUUCCCCGCCAACCGUGAGUGACGGGCAAUCGAAAACAUUUGACCAAUUAUUUGAAGAUGCAAGACGUUCACUUUAUCCAAGUUGCGAGAAGUUCUUGAAGCUCUCAUUUGUAGUUAAGUUGCUUUAUAUCAAAACUGUUGGUGGUUGGACUAUCAAGUCAUUUCAUAUGGUUUUACAAUUGUUAAAGGCAGCGUUUCUAGAUAUUGAAAUACCUACAUCAUACCACGAGGCCGGACGCUUUGAGCGUGGUUUGGGUUAGUUAUGUGAAGAUAUAUGCCUGCCAAAAUGACUGCAUGCUAUUUUGGAAUAACGAUGCAGACAAAGAAGCUUGUUCUAAAUGCAAUGAGUCGAGGUGGGUGUCGAUGAGUGGGAAAAAUGGAAAGAUUCCCCAAAAGGUUUUGCGCUACUUUCCUCUGAUCCUGAGGUUACAAAGGUUAUUUAUGUCGAAGAAUAUUGCAAAAUCUAUGAAAUGACAUAGAGAACAAGAAGUUGAUGACCAUAGUACUUUAAGACAUUUUGCUGAUUCGAAGAUGUGGAGACAAUUUGAUAAAGACCACAGUUAGUUUGCACAAGAUGCUCGCAUUGUGAGACUGGGGCUAGCCAGUGAUGGGUUUUACCCAUACAAUAAUUUGGCUAUACCUUAUAGCAUAUGGCCAGUGAUACUUAUGCCAUACAACUUGCCUCCUUGGUUAUGCAUGAAGGAUCCAUACUUAAUGCUAUCCUUGCUCAUUCCUGGACCUAAAGCACUAGGAAACCACAUCGAUGUUUAUUUACAACCUUUAGUUAAUGAACUACAAGAGCUAUGGGAGGGCGGUGUCGAUACCUACGAUGCAUCAACUAAGGGGUAGUCUUGCUUACAUGUUGCACUAUUGUGGACUAUUAAUGAUUUUCCUGCAUAUGCCAAUCUUUCAGGGUGAAGCACAAAUGGAAAGUUGGCUUGCCCAUUAUACAACGAGGAUACCAAUUCCGUGUGGUUGAAACAUGAUAAAAACACUGUUACAUGGGCCAUCGAUGCUUCUUGCCACUCGGUCACACUUGGAGAAAGAAAAAUGGUGCAUUUAAUGGAAAGGAGGAUCAUUGAUUGCCUCCUUCCGAACUCAUGGGACAUGAUGUACUUCAUCAACUAUUGUAAGUUGGCAAUGUCGAAUUUGAGAAAUGUUUGAGAAAGAGAAAAUGCACCCCAGAUGAAUUGAAUUGGACUAAACAAAGUAUAUUCUUCCAAUUACCUUACUGGUCGACGUUGCCCUUACGACAUAAUCUCGAUGUCAUGCACAUUGAAAAAAACAUAUACGAGAACAUCUUAGGUACGUUGAUGGAUAUUGAAGGAAAAACCAAAGACACUGUUAAUGCACGUAAGGACUUGAUGGAGCUUGGUUUAAGAAAGGAACUACAUCUACAACCUUCAGCUAGUGGGUACUCCAUGUUGCUUGGGUCGUACACGCUGGACAGACAUCAGAGGAGAAGUUUUUGUGAAUGGCUUGCAACUGUUAAAUUUCCAGAUGGUUUUGCCUCGAACAUUUCUAGAUGUGUUUCAGUUGGUGAUGGAAAGAUAUUAGGAAUGAAAAGUUAUGAAUGUCACGUGUUCAUGCAAAGAUUACUUCCAGUUGCAAUUGGUGGAUUUUUCCCACUUGAUAUACGGCUUGCAUUGAUCGAGUUCUGUUCCUUCUUCAAGGCACUGUGCUCACGAACGUUGACUUUGGAUAUAUUGAAACAACUACAAUCCGACAUUGCAAUCAUCUUUUGCAAGCUUGAGAUGAUUUUCCCACCUGUUUUCUUUGAUAUAAUGGUGCACAUUGCCAUUCAUUUACUCCGUGAGGUUUUCCUUACUAGGCCAGUUCAAUAUAGGUGGAUGUAUCCUUUUGAAUGAUAUUUGAGAAAAUUCAAGCGCUAUGUCAAAAACAAGGCUCAUCUGGAAGGCUCAAUUGCUGAAGCCUAUGUACAUCUUGAAUGCUUGACCUUCUGUUCCUUGUAAUCCAUGAUAUUGAGACCAUAUAUAAUCGGGAGGAACGAAACAAGGAUAUAGAUAAGGACACCAAAUCCAUUCACUUCCCUAUUUUUUUACAAAGGAUAUGUCUGUGCAGCUCCCCUACCUCCAGUCGAUUGGAUUAGAGUCUACUUGCAAAGGUAAGGUGGUACGUGCUAAAUAAUUGUGCAGAGAUUGGUCAGUACCUAGAGUAAGUUUUUGGUUUUUCCCAUUACAUACAAAAGCAAGUCAAUAUCCUUGAACCCAAUCUUUUAUUACCAUUCUAUAUUAUAUUUUUUUAUGGAUUCCUAGUGAGCACUAUACGAAGAUGAAAGAAAUGGACCCAGCAACAAUAGAUCAUAGCCAUCAAAGGGAAUUUCUAGCUUAGUUUUGCACACAAGUGAGUUCCCAAGUAGAAACAUCUGUGCACAUGUAAUUAGUUAUCAAAUAAGUUUACUAUAGGAAUUCUAAGCUUUUGCUCUCCAUUAUGAACAGAUUCAAGAGUUGUGUUCAACAAAUCCUUCCGACGUCUCUGAUGACAUAUAUGCACUAGCUUGUGGACCAAAUCCAUGAGUUGCUUCUUUUUCUCCUUGCAUCAUUAAUGGCACCGGAUUUCACACAGUGUCUUGUGGUCAACACCGCCGAAUCCAAAAUAGUGGGGUGGUUGUUAAAGGGGAACACCAAUCAAAAGCUAUUGAUUUCUACGGAGCUUUGAUUGACAUUUGCAAUUAUGAUACAUGGGUUGGCGUCAUUUAUAUUUGUUUAGAUGUGAGUGGUUUAAUGUCAGUGAUGCAAAGAGGGUAAUACAUGUUGGAGACCACAUAACUGGUGUCAACACUUCUAGAAAAUGGUAUAAGGAUGAGCCAUUUGCCCUUAACUGUCAGGUAGCCCAAGUAUUUUAUUUGCAAGACAAUAGUAAACAUGGUAAUUGGCUUGUCGUGCAAAGGGUGACAAGUAGAAACACAGACGAUAUUCCAAUUAUACUAUUGGAUCAUGAUGAUGAGGAUGAUGAGUAGAAUCUGAACUAUGCUGCUUUUCAAGAGAACGAACCAUCAUGCGUGGUGGUAGAACUUGAAGAGGAUGAUAAUGGGAUUAGUUCUCCCUUGCAUAGGACUGACGUAGAACCAAUCGAUGUUGCUGUUGAUACACUUUUGCAGGACACAAUAUCUUAUCCUGGUGAUGAUGACUUCAUUGAUGACAAGUUAGAUGAAAACGAUGAUUACGAAAGUGGUAGUAGUGAAGAUCUUGUUAUAGAUAGUGGGACUUCGUUUGACGAUGAUUCCAGGUGAGUGAGCAUAGCAAGUGAUGUUCGGAUGGCUACCGAGGCAAACUGGUCUCUCUCGUAGUAUCGCUAUUUCUCUAAGUUUUAGUCUAUACAUGGAUUGAAAUUUUUCUCUCUGUGGGUAUCGCAUUUAAUGGAAUAGUAGAAACUACUAGCCCACAUUAAGUAAUGGGAUAUUGCAGUCAUUUUAUGUCUCUUAACACGUGGAUACUUCCAGUUGCAAUUUCAGUUUUUCUUUUUCUUUUUUGGCCCUUUCUUGAUUGAAUGGAUAUUGGAAUUUAGGACAAUAAUAGUAUUAGUGACUGAUGCAUUUGGUUAGUGAAACAGGGACUUCUGAAGUUUUUUUGAUGGGUUUGAUAAUAUAUUCUUUUUCAAUUUUGGGUGAAGAUUGGAAGGGAUUAAAAGGCAUUUGUAUUUAGUUACUUGCACUGAUUUCCAUCUGGGUUCUCGCUAAAAUGCUUUGAGAAAUAUGUGCAUUUUUUCAGUUCACCACUGGGUUCUCAGACUGAUGGUUAUAUUUUUUAAAAGGAAAUUUAUUUUUGAUAGAUAGCUAGCAUUCUGCAAUGAUCCUAGUAGUCUCACUGCACAUACAUUGGAUUCAUUUGGUUGCCAAGAAAAUCACUGCACUUCCACUUUUAGGCAAACAAUUUCAAACAUGCUUUUAGUUAGUAUUUACAGCUUACUUUGUUUCUCUGACAUGCACAUAACUAGUGGUUGCAGGAGUGGUUACUAAAGCUCCCAUCCAUAACCAUGAUGAAAUUUCCUACUGAGGUAGCUUAUGGCAAGGAUGGUUCUGCAAUCCUUGUUUCCUGCUAAUGCAACCUUGCAAUUCGAUGUUGAAUUGCUGUCUUGGACUAGUAUUAAGGGACUAGUAUUAAGGACGUAUGUAAGGAUGGUGGGAUAUUUAAGAAAAUUCUCAAGGAAGGAUAGAAAUGGGAGAAUCCAAAGGACCUUGAUGAAGUGCCUGUUAAUAAAAAGCUAUUAGAGGAGGAUGGAACAGUCACUGCAAGGUUAGAUGGACUCGAAUUCACUGUCCAAGAGGAAUUCUUGUUGUAGUCAGCAAUCCCAAUUUCAAUCUCUUAAGUAAAUCAAGUUGAUGAAGCUAGACUGGACAUUGAAAUGUCGGCCAUGUUGAAAGAGCAACUGGUUAAGGUGUUCUCUUUGAUGAAUGUACAUCUUACAAACCUAUUUUGGUCUAUCCGAGCUCUCAGCAAAGGAAGAAUCAUGCCUCCACCAACGAAUGUGACAGUCUGAAACAUGUCACCACUAAGGAGGAUCAGCUGCAACAACCCUAGGCCACCAACAAGCAUGCUUCCACUAAUAAUGUGACAGUCUGAGACAAGGCACCACCAAGGAGAAUCAGAGCUGUCCAAGAUGUUCCCUCUAAGCUUAGUACAGUUUGUUAGGCAUUUCCCUUUUUUGUACAAGACAAAUAGGCGUGUAUAGAUGAUUCUUUCUAUUUCUGGUAAGCUGAUAAAUGUGGCUCGAGGUAUAUAUAUAUGUAUCAAGGCUCAGUGUAAAAGUAGUAGAACAAUAUACAGAAGAAGGAAUUUCAUUUUUUUCUCUGCAACUUUUUCUGUCCCUCUGUUCUUCACCUUUUAACAUGGUAUCAGAGCCUUAGGCUUUGAGUCUUGAGGUCCUAUUCCUCAUCUUCUCUUCAAUCAUUCCCAAACAGCUCCAUUGCAUCAAUCAUUCCUUCUUUUUCUCAGCAUUGACUCUCAUUUGAUUCAUUCACAAUGACAGAUCAUGAUGCUAUUUCACCUUCUGAAGAUCCAAAGAGUCACUUCUAUCUACACCACAGUGAUAAUGCCAACAUUGUGGUGGUGGUUCAACCACUUUCUGGCCCAAACUACCUAUCAUGGCAUAGGUCAUUUACCUUAGCCAUUUCUGUCAAAAAUAAACUUGGAUUUCUUGAUGGGAGUAUAUCUACUCCAAAACUAGAAAACCCUUUGUAUAUUCCUUGGUUAAGGUGCAACAACCUAAUUCUAUCUUGGCUGCUCAACUCAAUCUCGAAAGAGAUAUCAUCAAAUGUGCUCUACAUCAACUCAGCAAAGGAGGUAUGGGACAAGCUGAAAAAUCGCUUUGCUCAGCCAGACAAUGUGCGCAUCUACUAACUUCAGCAACAGCUCAGCUCCAUUCUGCAAGGAAGUCAAACUCUCUUAAAUCAGUUGGUGAUGUUCAAGAAACAAAUUAUGUGUUUAAGUUUCUUAUGGGAUUAAAUGAAUCAUAUGAACCCAUUAGAGGCCAAAUAAUCUUGAUGAGUCCUAUGCCCUCCCUAGACAAAACUUUUUCCUUAGUUUUGCAAGAGGAAAGGCAAAGACAAACCAGAAUCCUAGCAAUGCCUUUCCCUGAAGCCUUAGCACUAGCAGCCUAUGGCAACCAAAUCAAAAGGAAAGAAAAAUCUGACCUCAACUGUUUUCAUUGUGGGAAACCUGGACAUACGAAAGAAAAGUGUUAUAGGCUCAUAGGAUUCCCACCCAAUUUUAAGUUCACCAAGGCCAAAACAAGUCAUGGUAAUGGAAACUUCACUCACUCAGCAAACCAAGUCUUUUCAACUCAAGAAAGAGGAUUGCAGGAAGCUCCUCAAAUGACCUUGUCUCAGACUCAAGUUCAGAAGCUUAUGGCUCUAAUCAAUGGACAGAUGUCUCAACUUAACUCUAAUGACUUGAGAGUAU